GCGCGCCCGGCGCCCCCUCCCGCCCAGUCCCCUCCCCCUGUGGCUCUCGCUCGCCCUCUUCCCUCCCCCGGCAACGUCGGCCGCCUCCGGGUGCGCAGGGCAGCGCUCGGCACGCGAACCCCUUCUGCAGGCGCCCCGGCGCCACUCGAGCGUCGAGCCCCGGGCGCGCGUAUCGUCCCCCCCCGCCCCGCAGCCGCCGAGCGACGAUGAGCCGAGGCGCAGGGGUCGCGGAGAGCAGUGAUGAUCGCAGUGCCUCUUCGGAAGAAAAAGAUUGCCCCAGUCGCAACCUAGAUACUUCAAAGGACUCUAAAUCAGGUGACGACAGCAGUUCCGAGAGCAGUUUGGAAAGUGAAUCUGAUAAUGAGGAGCCAAAACCAGAAAAAACAAAUGGGGAGCUAAGAGAGUCUUCCACCGAGGAAGCGUCUAAUCAGGUUGAAGAAUGGGAGGGUAAAGAAUUGCCCACAGAUCAUUUUAAUUCAGAAUUUAAUGAAAUCCAAUCUCACUGUGAACACUGUAAUGCUGAAAAUAAACACAAUGAACUAGUGACCCCCAGGCUCCUUUCCCGGGGACAGUUUUUACUGAAGGUGGACACAGAGGGAACUUACCAGUGCACGGAGACUGGUCUGAUAUUUGAGGUUAACAGAAAAGUUGACAUCAAGUAUUGCGUCCUGUCCUGGAGCAAAUACGCGGACCUGGUUGUGAAGCCCUGGGUUGUCGGUGGACCCUUGUUUGAUGUUAAAUGUGACCCAACCUGUCUUACCUCCAUUCAUUUUCCACAUUCCCUCUGCUUGGGUCACUGCGAUGCCAACAUGAUGUUCAAAGUCUUACAUGUUAAAAGUACUGGGGCCUUGUUAGAAUAUACUGUGGACCAUUCUGCAACCCAUGUCAAAUGGCACGUGAGCUCUCUUUCUCCUGUGGGACCUGUUAUUCAAAGCGAAGAAACAGUAUUCCACCACGGGGCCGUGAUCCUGUACAAAGCCAUCGACCAUAACCCAUCCUUGUCUUUUCGAGUGUACAUAGCAACCAAUAAUGAGUCCUUCAUCAAGGAUAUUUCCAAAUCUGUAAAGCACUCCUCUAAGAAAUUCAUGAAAAUCGACAAGCCUCCCGUUUGCCAGAAGUUGUUGCAGAAUGGGAAGAAGUACAGGCUGAUCAGUGAGCCAGAAGCUGAAAUCACCCCCGAGGAAAUUGAAUUUGUGGAUGGUUCACUUUUAAAAUUGAAAAGUUAUAGUGAAGUGUAUUUGGAGCAACCAGCGGAGUUUAAGUUACUUUUGGUUGAAAUGGAUUCCGAGGAAAUUGUAUGGAAAGCAAAACUGAGAGAGUGUGACUGGGUUCAGCAUGAUCAGAACCCGAAAGUUUCGAAAAGCGGCACAAGUGGUAAUAGGAGACGAAAAAUGAGUAGCAGCUUACCUGAUGAGGUGGUCUAUGAUAAAAGAAUGAAGCAGAUUGACACUUCAGAUGGAGUGAAGACUAAAACCUUGUUAACAGACACUCAGUUGAUUAACCUUGCUGAGAAGUUGGGGAAGGAGUGGGUAAAGAUUGCCAUUGCCAACUUGAAGUUGAAGAUUAGCGAUAUUGAUGCUAUCCUGGAGAAGAAAGAAGAUGUCACGAUCAAUAAGUUUAGGAUGCUGAAGAAGUGGCAAGAAAAGGAGCAGAGUAACGCCACAGCUCAGAAUUUAUGGAACUGCUUAAAAAAUGUCAAUUCAGUUGAAGUCCAAGAUGUGCUGAAAGGUUUCUUACAGGAAACGUGAAGUUUGGAAGAUGAGCUGGAAAAGGAAGCUUCAGGAACUUUUACCUGCAAAGACCCUCGCCGUGGUAAUUGGGUGUGGACUCCGGAACCUAGAGCUGCACAGCCUGUGGAAGCAGCUCCUUUCACAGGCUGCCCACAGCUCACAUUAUUCAGGGGCAGAGGGAAUGAAAUAUUUGGAAACCUUGAGGAAGAAAAAAACCUCUGCAAUAUCAAGAUUUUUUUUUUUUUUUUGUACCUCCCACUCACACCCUCCCACCCGCUUCCCCACCCAAACAAAUACACUUACAAAGGGUGCUUAAAAUGACCCAACGCAGUCAGGGGACAACCUUUCUUCCCUGCUUCAUCAUGUGGAAGUGUGUUUUCACUCCAUUUUCUAAAGAGGCCACUGUAUUUGCCGAUAUUUAAGUGUGCUCUCACGAGGACAGUGGUUUUCAGUGGUUGGCCCAGCCUGUUGCCGUUGCUGGAAGUCCUUCUUGGGUUGAAGCAGCACACUGCUUGCUGAAGCUGUAGGAGCCUUUUGUGAAAGGAAAUCUCACCUGGAACCUGCAUUGGUAAAGCGUUCAGAAGUGGAGCUGCUCUGCUGGGGGGUUACUGAGGGCUGAUGAGGGGCCGUCGAGGCACCCUGCUGGAUCCCUGACCCACUCCUGUCGGGGGCAGCGUGGGAACCAGCUGAUAAGAUGACUGCUUGGGUCUCUGGGAGCUGUCGUCCAGGAGUUUGUAUCUACGAUGUCUGCAACGGGAGGUAAACCCCUUUCCAGUUCACCAGUGAUGGAUGUUUGGGCGGCACCUUGCUCCUGAAGGGAUCACAUAAUGCCAAACCAUAGACACGUAAAUGAUUUAAAUCAACAGGCUUGUGGAGACCUUCCAGCCUUCCUUUCCUCUGCAGUGAUGACCGCAGAUGACAGCUGAUGCUCCAUCAGCCUGGGUUCCAGAAGAGAACCAUGAGAGCAGAGCCCCCAACUGAUAGGCAAUGAGCAUGUACCUCAAGCAAGAAAUAAACCUUUGUUUUAGGCCAAAAAACCAAAAACAAAAACAGCCUCAAUGAAUUUUGGAUUUUCCCCCAUUCUAAGCAUGUAUAAUGGUUUUGAGCCAAGCAAGCAUGUGCAUUUUAUAAUUUUUAACUUUUUUUUUUGUAAUUGGGAAUACUUUGAUUUUUAAAGACUAAAGACUUUCUUAUGUAUUCCUAGAUUAGGAAAAGAAAUGAGAAACGUGUGGAAACCCAUGAAGAUUUGCCUUUCUCUACCAUUUUUGAGUGCUGGGGCCUGAGCACACAAAUACUUGUAUAACAUGACAUUUCCUGUACUUGAAGCUCUCACAGUGUAGUGAGGGAGAGAGGAGAAGCAUAAGUAGCUAUGAUGCUGUUUGCAUGGUUAUGAUGAGUUACUGUGUGACCUUAAUACGAGAGGCAAAGGAUACUGUGGCUGUGUGCAUCGGCCAGAGCCAGGCCGCCUGGGUUCAGAUCCCAGCACCUGCCACUUACCCUGUAAGUGUCUAUGGCCGCUUGGUUUAGUUUCCUCAUCUAUAAAAAGGGGAAGGUAAUAACACCUCCUCCUAGGGUUUUUGGGAGGAUUCUGUGCAUUUGUGGUAAACACUUGUAGAAACAUGCCUGGCACUUAGUAAGCACGGAGUAAGCAUUAGUUCCUAUUGCUUCUGAAAAAGGUUACGUGAGUGUAUUGUCUCUGAUGUUACAUUGAUGUCAUAAUUUAUACUCCUAAUUUUAAUAUCAUACUCAAAGAUACAUACAUGCAACUAAAGUUUU